AUUGAACGCUAACGGCGUGCUUAACACAUGCAAGUCGAACGGCAGCACAGCAGUAGCAAUACUGUGGGUGGCGAGUGGCGGACGGGUGAGUAAUGCAUAGGAAUCUGCCUUGUAAUGGGGGAUAACCCGGGGAAACUCGGGCUAAUACCGCAUAAUCUUUACGAAGCAAAGUGGGGGACCGUAAGGCCUCACGUUAUAAGAUGAGCCUAUGUUGGAUUAGCUAGUUGGUGGGGUAAAGGCCUACCAAGGCGACGAUCCAUAGCUGGUCUGAGAGGAUGAUCAGCCACACUGGGACUGAGACACGGCCCAGACUCCUACGGGAGGAAGCAGUGGUGAAUAUUGGACAAUGGGGGAAACACUGAUCCAGCAACGACGUGUGUGUGAAGAAGGCCUUAGGGUUGUAAAGCACUUUCAGUAGGGAAGAAAAGCUUAAGGAUAAUAUCCUUGAGUAUUGACGUUACCUACAGAAGAAGCACUGGCUAACUCUGUGCCAGCAGCCGCCGUAA
rnacentral:rRNA from 1 species